GGAGGAAGGAAAAAGAAAAAAAACAUACUCAUAAUCCUAUGACACCAGGACUUCUAAUCAUUUGGCACAUUCACUUCCAAUUGU
rnacentral:lncRNA from 1 species